ACAUACUGGGCGCGCGCGCGUGUGUGUGUGUGUGUGUGUGUGUGUGUGCGCGCACGCGUUCAAAAUCCCGAUACA
rnacentral:miRNA from 1 species